GCAGCAUUAAAUAGUAUUAAGUUACAUAUGUAAUAAAUCUAACAUUGUGCUACAUUAUUUUCUAAAUUAAAAAUUAAAUAGCAAAAUCAGUUUUUAUAAACAAAGUUUUUGAACAUAAUAAGCCAACACAUAAAAAUAAUAUACAUAGUUGUUGCAGGUUAAUCAUGUGAUUAAAAGUAAUUUUGACAAUGUUAUUCAUGAAUUAUUUUCACUGACUUCACAAGCAAAUUUUAUUGCAAAAGCAAAAUCACGCAUUCAUGAGUCACUGAGAAUCACACAGACAUUAUUAUUAUGACACAUGAAUCAGAAGAUAUGCAAGUCCAAAGAAUUCUCCAGUGCAUUCCAUAGGCCAGCAAAAACAUGACUUUCUUUGCCAGCUUCUCUUACAAUUUGUGAAUCAUACUUUUGAAUGCCAAUAAAUCUCAA
rnacentral:lncRNA from 1 species